CCUUGCGCAAUUCAUAUACGGAAGCACAUCCAACAAACUCCCUUCCCUAUAUUCAGAAAAUGAUGAACACUUACUAAACAUCUUAUAUAAGUUAAAGUCGUACACUUUUAUUUACAUAAAGUAGAUGGACAUCUUUAGUCGGUACAUCGAAAUGCCGAUGUUUCUAUACUCGGCUAUACUUCAAAAGAUGACCGACAUCUCCUCCCACAAUUGUAUGCUUAAGGUCCAUCAACCAGUGUCGGCGUCCAAAGGUUCCCUCCUUUGCUAUCCUUCUCCUCGCGGUCAUAUCCAACCGCUCAAACCAUCUACUAAUCUGAGAUGUUAUUCCCCAAAAGGGGUGAGUACAACCACUUAGCGAGUAAAUGAAUCCAAUAACCACUCAAUGCAUCAUACAAGUCAUAUAUGCAUUGCAGGCAUUACUUACCUUGAAGCCAUGCGCAUACUAUCAUGCAUCAAUCUCAUAAUCAUAUACAUGUCAUCAUCAUCAUGACAUUAUUACAUCACACAUGUCAUCAUCAUCAUGGCACCAUCACAUUACACAUGUCAUCAUACCAUAUCAUAUAUCAUCAUCAUCAUCAUUGUCAUGCAUAUCAUCACGCAUAUCAUUAUGCCAUAUCAUAUAUCAUCAUCAUCAUCAUCGUCAUGCAUAUUAUGUCAUAUCAUAUAUCAUCAUCAUCAUGCAUAUCAUCAUGCAUAUCAUCAUGCAUAUCAUGCCAUUGGUGAUCAUCAUUAUUCCAUAUCACAUAU
rnacentral:lncRNA from 1 species